rnacentral:rRNA from 1 species
UUGAAGCUUCGGCAGAUUUAGCUUGUUUCUAGUGGCGGACGGGUGAGUAACGCGUGGGUAACCUGCCUUAUACUGGGGGAUAACAGCCAGAAAUGACUGCUAACACCGCAUAAGCGCACAGAACCGCAUGGUUCGGUGUGAAAAACUCCGGUGGUAUAAGAUGGACCCGCGUUGGAUUAGCUAGUUGGCAGGGCAGCGGCCUACCAAGGCGACGAUCCAUAGCCGGCCUGAGAGGGUGAACGGCCACAUUGGGACUGAGACACGGCCCAGACUCCUACGGGAGGCAGCAGUGGGGAAUAUUGCACAAUGGGGGAAACCCUGAUGCAGCGACGCCGCGUGAAGGAAGAAGUAUCUCGGUAUGUAAACUUCUAUCAGCAGGGAAGAUAAUGACGGUACCUGACUAAGAAGCCCCGGCUAACUACGUGCCAGCAGCCGCGGUAAUACGUAGGGGGCAAGCGUUAUCCGGAUUUACUGGGUGUAAAGGGAGUGUAGACGGCGCAGCAAGUCUGAUGUGAAAGGCAGGGGCUUAACCCCUGGACUGCAUUGGAAACUGUUGUGCUUGAGUGCCGGAGGGGUAAGCGGAAUUCCUAGUGUAGCGGUGAAAUGCGUAGAUAUUAGGAGG